UACGAAGGGUGCAAGCGUUACUCGGAAUUACUGGGCGUAAAGCGUGCGUAGGUGGUUUUUUAAGUCCGUUGUGAAAGCCCUGGGCUCAACCUGGGAAUGGCAGUGGAUACUGGAAAGCUAGAGUGCGGUAGAGGGUAGUGGAAUUCCCGGUGUAGCAGUGAAAUGCGUAGAGAUCUGGAGGAACACCGAUGGCGAAGGCAGCCCCCUGGGCUAACACUGACGCUCAUGCACGAAAGCGUGGGGAGCAAACAGG
rnacentral:rRNA from 1 species